UACGAAGGGUGCUAGCGUUGUUCGGAUUUACUGGGCGUAAAGCGCACGUAGGCGGUUAUAUAAGUUAGCGGUGAAAUUCCAGGGCUUAACCUUGGCAUUGCCAUUAAUACUGUAUAGCUAGAGUGUAUGAGAGGAUGAUGGAAUAUCCAGUGUAGAGGUGAAAUUCGUAGAUAUUGGAUAGAACACCAGUGGCGAAGGCGAUCAUCUGGCAUACAACUGACGCUAAUGUGCGAAAGCGUGGGUAGCAAACAGG
rnacentral:rRNA from 1 species